CCCUGAUGAUCCUCUUGGCUGUCUUGACUGCCGCCUCAGCCCUGCCAUUAGACUGAGGAAUGGCAGACGACAGGCGCACCGAGACCCCCCAGUUCCUGUAGAAGGUGUCCAUCCCCACGCUUGUCAGAAUGUUUGAUUUUGCUGUUAACCCCUUUGCUAUGGCUGGGCUGAGAGCAUGUCUUGAGGCUUAUCCAGGAAUACCCACUGCGGCCACACAGCUGAGCUCAGUUCUUCCCGCGCGCCACUUGAACAACAAUACAGUACCCAGGCUGCCACACUACUCAACAACAACACCCUUGCUGCCGUGGAGUGGCCACCAGAUGUCUCACGCAACUGGUCUCACACGGCGCCGCGGCCACACAGCUGAGCUCAGUUCUUCCCGCGCACCACUUGAACAACAAUACAGUACCCACGCUGCCACGCUACUCAACAACAACAACACCCUUGCUGCUGUGCUACCAUGAGGGGAAGGGCAGUCAGAGGAGGAACCACGAGAGGGAGAGGAGUCAGAGUGAUACAGUAGGCAAUAAAGGUAUACAAACCUACCUCUUGUUUGACUUACAUUGUCUUUGAUUUACGCGACCUCUUCAAGGACACAAUACUCGCGUAAAUCGAGAGUUACCUGUACCUAGAUUUCAGCCAUAAAACUAAACAUAAUUAUCAUGU